rnacentral:rRNA from 1 species
AGAGUUUGAUCCUGGCUCAGGACGAACGCUGGCGGCGUGCUUAACACAUGCAAGUCGAACGGAAAGGCCCUUCGGGGUGCUCGAGUGGCGAACGGGUGAGUAACACGUGGGUGAUCUGCCCUGCACUUUGGGAUAAGCCUGGGAAACUGGGUCUAAUACCGAAUAGGACUGCGCUCUUCAUGGGGUGUGGUGGAAAGCUUUUGCGGUGUGGGAUGGGCCCGCGGCCUAUCAGCUUGUUGGUGGGGUAAUGGCCUACCAAGGCGACGACGGGUAGCCGGCCUGAGAGGGUGACCGGCCACGCUGGGACUGAGAUACGGCCCAGACUCCUACGGGAGGCAGCAGUGGGGAAUAUUGCACAAUGGGCGCAAGCCUGAUGCAGCGACGCCGCGUGAGGGAUGACGGCCUUCGGGUUGUAAACCUCUUUCAGCACAGACGAAGCGCGAGUGACGGUAUGUGCAGAAGAAGGACCGGCCAACUACGUGCCAGCAGCCGCGGUAAUACGUAGGGUCCGAGCGUUGUCCGGAAUUACUGGGCGUAAAGAGCUCGUAGGUGGUUUGUCGCGUUGUUCGUGAAAACUCACAGCUUAACUGUGGGCGUGCGGGCGAUACGGGCAGACUGGAGUACUGCAGGGGAGACUGGAAUUCCUGGUGUAGCGGUGGAAUGCGCAGAUAUCAGGAGGAACACCGGUGGCGAAGGCGGGUCUCUGGGCAGUAACUGACGCUGAGGAGCGAAAGCGUGGGGAGCGAACAGGAUUAGAUACCCUGGUAGUCC